rnacentral:piRNA from 1 species
GAGGAAACUGUAGGGGGUUUUCUCGAUUGU